GAUGAACGCUGUCGGCGUGCCUAAUACAUGCGAGUCGAGCGAACGGACGAGAAGCUUGCUUCUCUGAUGUUAGCGGCGGACGGGUGAGUAACACGUGGAUAACCUACCUAUAAGACUGGGAUAACUUCGGGAAACCGGAGCUAAUACCGGAUGAUAUUUUGAACCGCAUGGUUCAAAAGUGAAAGACGGUCUUGCUGUCUCUUAUAGAUGGAUCCGCGCUGCAUUAGCUAGUUGGUAAGGUAACGGCUUACCAAGGCAACGAUGCAUAGCCGACCUGAGAGGGUGAUCGGCCACACUGGAACUGAGACACGGUCCAGACUCCUACGGGAGGCAGCAGUAGGGAAUCUUCCGCAAUGGGCGAAAGCCUGACGGAGCAACGCCGCGUGAGUGAUGAAGGUCUUCGGAUCGUAAAACUCUGUUAUUAGGGAAGAACAUAUGUGUAAGUAACUGUGCACAUCUUGACGGUACCUAAUCAGAAAGCCACGGCUAACUACGUG
rnacentral:rRNA from 1 species